GUCGGAAAUCAAAGAUGGCUGGAGGUCAGGCCCCGAAAGGUUAGGGCGAAGAUCGGCAGGCUGCUCGCCCUGGUCCUCCUCCGAGUUGAUGUGCUGGGGUUUCGCCUGCUUGCGCCUCGACAUGGUGCGAGCAUCGGGGCGCCGGGAGAGCCGCAGUUAUUUGCCCUCUCCGCCACAAAUUCCUGGAGUUGGGAAAUUUACCCCCCUUCGGCCGGAACGCGCAUGUCCCAGUAAUUAUUAUUAUCAAUAAUGCAUUGCGAUUUAUCAUGAGCCCUGACAGCUGAUUGGCCUGGGUCCAAGACCUCAGAGAUCAUUUAAAUAAGCCCUCAUUGAUCAGGGAGGGGUGAGGCAUUCUGGGCUUUGUAGUCCGGGCCUACUUGUGACAAAGGCGUGUUCAUCAGGGGAGCGCAGCUAAUUAGCAUCCGGGCUCAGAUUGGCU
rnacentral:lncRNA from 1 species